CUCUGACGAGGCUCCGUAAUCGGAAUGGGCGUAGUUUAAAUCCUUCGACGAGGAUCAAGUGGAGGGCAAGUCUGGUGCCAGCAGCCGCGGUAAUUCCAGCUCCACUAGCGUAUAUUAAAGUUGCUGCAGUUAAAAAGCUCGUAGUCGGAUCUCGGGAUCGUGUCGACGUUCUCGUGGCGUCUUCUGCGGUUCGCGCCGUCGGGAGUCGUUGCGGGUCGUUGGCCCUGCCGGCGAGGUCCCCGCCUGAUGGCGGGGCUCCACCUUGCUCGUGCAGCCCGCCGUCGCGUUUGGGCGGGUGUCUUUAAUUAGAUGCCCGUUUUUUGAACGUGGCCCGUUUACCUUGAACAAAUCGGAGUGCUCAAAGCAGGCUCUACGUCGCUCGAACGGUAGCGCAUGGAAUAAUGGAAGAGGACCGGCUUCCGCUUCUGUUGGUCUCACGGAGGCAGGUAAUGAUCAAGAGGGACGGACGGGGGCGGAGGUAUGGCCUGGCGAGAGGUGAAAUUCUUGGACCCUGGCCAGACCCUCGAGAGCGAAAGCAUCCGCCAAGGAUGUUUCCAUUGAUCAAGAACGAAAGUCGCGGGAUCGAACGGGAUUAGAUACCCCGGUAGUCGCGACCGUAAACGAUGCCAACCGGGAAUUUGGCGGCGUUACUUCCAUGACCCGUCAAGCGCCCGACCCGGGAAACCGAGAGUCUUUGGGUUCCGGGGGGAGUAUGGUUGCAAAGCUGAAACUUAAAGGAAUUGACGGAAGGGCACCACCAGGAGUGGAGCCUGCGGCUUAAUUUGACUCAACACGGGGAACCUCACCCGGCCCGGACACCGCGAGGAUUGACAGACUGAGAGCUCUUUCUCGAUUCGGUGGGUGGUGGUGCAUGGCCGUUCUUAGUUGGUGGAGCGAUCUGUCUGGUUAAUUCCGAUAACGAACGAGACCCCAACCUGCUAACUAGCCCUCGGGUCCGGCUUCUGGCGGGCCCGACGGAAUGAUUCGCUUCUUAGAGGGACUCGCGGCGCCUAGCCGCACGAAGGGGGGCGAUAACAGGUCUGUGAUGCCCUUAGAUGUUCGGGGCUGCACGCGCGCUACACUGAAGGCAUCAGCGUGCGCUUUGUCCGUUCCCUGCCUGAAAAGGCUGGGUAACCCGCUGAACCGCCUUCGUGCCUGGGAUAGGGAUUUGCAAUUAUCUCCCUUGAACGAGGAAUUCCCAGUAGGCGCGAGUCAUCAGCU
rnacentral:rRNA from 1 species